AUUGAACGCUAGCGGCAUGCCUUACACGUGCAAGCGAACGGCGAGCGCGGGGGCGAACCCUGGCGGCGAGCGGCGGACGGGUGAGUAAGGCAUCGGAAUCUGCCCUGAUNUGGGGGAUAACGUAGGGAAACUUACGCUAAUACCGCAUACGACCGAGAGGUGAAAAGCGAGGGACCGAAAGGCCUCGCGCAGCAGGAUGAGCCGAUGUCCGAUUAGCUAGUUGGUGGGGUAAAGGCCUACCCAAGGCGACGAUCGGUAGCUGGUCUGAGAGGAUGAUCAGCCACACUGGGACUGAGACACGGCCCAGACUCCUACGGGAGGCAGCAGUGGGGAAUAUUGGACAAUGGGGGCAACCCUGAUCCAGCAAUGCCGCGUGGAUGAAGAAGGUCUUCCGGAUUGUAAAGUCCUUUUGGCGGGACGAUGAUGGACGGUACCGCAGGAAUAAGCUCCGGCUAACUUCGUG
rnacentral:rRNA from 1 species